CUUUUAGUGAGUAAUGCCGCAUUCUCCAUUUGUUCCUGGAAUGUACGUGGUUUAGGCGAUGAUGCCAAAUGCUCUGACGUCUUCUCUGAAUUGGUUGCGAUCAAACCUCACAUUGCCCUCUUGCAAGAAUCAAAACUAGAUAGUUUCUCCGACCCCAAACUAAGAUCCUUUUUGCCACGACAACUCGACCAAGUUUUUUCGUUACUGGCCGUGGGCACUGCGGGUGACACUAUCUCUGCUGUCAACACAACCUCUUUCCAAGUUGUCUCUUUCACACACCUCACCUUCUCCUCCACCCUGAUUUUGCAAUCAACAACAUGCGUCCGCAACAUUGUCAUCACUAAUAUCUACGCCCCGUCGUCACGUGCGCUCAAACAAGCUUUCUUAAAUGAGCUCAUCUCACAACCAGACGAUUCCCCUUGGCUUAUUGCUGGAGACUUCAACCUCAUUCGCUUCCCCUCUGACAAAAACAAUCUUGCCUUCCGUUAGGCUGAGGCCAAUGCUUUCAACCAAACCUUAGACGACCUAGCCCUCAUAGACUUGCCGCUUCUCGAUCGUCAGUUCACCUGGUCGAACAAUAGAGAUACGCCCACCUUAGAACGGAUCGAUCGCGCUUUCUUUAACUUAGCUUGGGCUGACGCCUUCCCUAACACAUCAUUAUCUCCACUCACGCGUUUUACGUCCGAUCACGUCCCCCUUCUCAUACACGUCACCACCCGAUUCCUUGGUCCAAUUACUUUAAAUUCGAGGCUGGUUGGGCCAACUUCCGGCCUUGUGGAGACAUUAUCAGGAGAAUCUGGGCCUCACCUCAGCCCACAUCGCCACUCAACUCUGCUGCUGCUCUUGCCUCCACGCUCAAAAAAUCUCGGACCGAUCUCAAAAAAUGGGCACGUUCAUGCAUCCCCGCUCCCCUUCGCGAAUCUCGUUGCAAAGCUGCAAUCGCUGCAUUAG
rnacentral:rRNA from 1 species